AACGCACAUUGCGCCCGCCAGCAUUCUGGCGGGCAUGCCUGUUCGAGCGUCAUUUCAACCCUCAGGCCCUGCCUGGCGUUGGAGGACUGCGCACGCAGCCUCCCAAAGCGAGCGGCGGCGGCGCCCCGAAACCGAACGCAGUAGUUACUUCUCGUUCUGGGUCCGGGUCGUUGUCCUGCCGGAAAACCCCCCUCUAAUCAAUGGUUGACCUCGAAUCAGGUAGGAAUACCCGCUGAACUUAA
rnacentral:misc_RNA from 2 species